AUCGUAUGCCCUUAACAGAGAAACAUUGAUAGACAGAUAGGGUGCAAUAUGCCUGCAACGUGAUCAGACGCAUACAAAUUCCCAUCUAGAGGGGACUUUCCAAAGCAACCUCCCAUAUUUUUGAUUUUUGACAAAUUUUAAUCGGGAAUAGUCCUGUCAAAGACGGCAGUAAAACUCGUGAAUGUGACCCCAGCAAAACUCUGAUGCACGCCGUUUCCCGAUGAUAAAUUUUUAUGGCCCUGCAACGAAGUUGUCGGUGCUAUAUAGUUUUACCCUUGUCAGAAAUUCCAUAAUUCCGUCAUUCUGCAACAAACCAUUAUACAGAGGUUUUUUCUAAACGCC
rnacentral:lncRNA from 1 species